UACGUAGGGUGCGAGCGUUGUCCGGAAUUACUGGGCGUAAAGAGCUCGUAGGUGGUUUGUCGCGUUGUUCGUGAAAACUCACGGCUUAACUGUGAGCGUGCGGGCGAUACGGGCAGACUGGAGUACUGCAGGGGAGACUGGAAUCCUGGUGUAGCGGUGGAAUGCGCAGAUAUCAGGAGGAACACCGGUGGCGAAGGCGGGUCUCUGGGCCGAUAUUGACGCUGAGGAGCGAAAGCGUGGGGGAGCGAACAGG
rnacentral:rRNA from 1 species